rnacentral:rRNA from 1 species
CUAGAUGUGAAAGCCCCGGGCUCAACCUGGGAUGGUCAUUUAGAACUGGCAGACUAGAGUCUUGGAGAGGGGAGUGGAAUUCCAGGUGUAGCGGUGAAAUGCGUAGAUAUCUGGAGGAACAUCAGUGGCGAAGGCGACUCCCUGGCCAAAGACUGACGCUCAUGUGCGAAAGUGUGGGUAGCGAACAGGAUUAGAUACCCUGGUAGUCCACACCGUAAACGCUGUCUACUAGCUGUGUGUGCCUUUAAGGCGUGCGUAGCGAAGCUAACGCGCUAAGUAGACCGCCUGGGGAGUACGGCCGCAAGGUUAAAACUCAAAUG